rnacentral:rRNA from 1 species
GAUAGCGACUGUGAACCACCUGAUUCCAUUCCGAACUCAGAAGUGAAAACAGUUAGCGUCGAUGAUAGUGUGGCAUUCGCCAUGUGA